rnacentral:rRNA from 1 species
AUUGAACGCUGGCGGCAUGCUUUACACAUGCAAGUCGAACGGCGGCGCGGGGCCACCUGGCGGCGAGUGGCGGACGGGUGGGUAAUAUAUCGGAACGUACCCAAGAGUGGGGGAUAACGUAGCGAAAGUUACGCUAAUACCGCAUACGAUCUAAGGAUGAAAGAGGGGGAUCUUCGUACCUCAUGCUCUUGGAGCCGCCGAUAUCUGAUUAGCUAGUUGGUAGGGUAAAGGCCUACCAAGGCUACGAUCAGUAGCUGGUCUGAGAGGGCGACCAGCCACACUGGAACUGAGACACGGUCCAGACUCCUACGGGAGGCAGCAGUGGGGAAUUUUGGACAAUGGGCGCAAGCCUGAUACAGCAAUGCCGCGUGAGUGAAGAAGGCCUUCGGGUUGUAAAGCUAUUUUGUCAGGGAAGAAACGGCUGAGGUUAAUACCUGUGGCUAAUGACGGUACCUGAAGAAUAAGCACCGGCUAACUACGUG